UGAGGAAUAUUGGUCAAUGGACGAGAGUCUGAACCAGCCAAGUAGCGUGCAGGAAGACGGCCCUAUGGGUUGUAAACUGCUUUUAUAAGGGAAUAAAGUUAGUCUCGUGAGACUUUUUGCAUGUACCUUAUGAAUAAGGACCGGCUAAUUCCGUGCCAGCAGCCGCGGUAAUACGGAAGGUCCGGGCGUUAUCCGGAUUUAUUGGGUUUAAAGGGAGCGUAGGCCGGAGAUUAAGCGUGUUGUGAAAUGUAGACGCUCAACGUCUGCACUGCAGCGCGAACUGGUUUCCUUGAGUACGCACAAAGUGGGCGGAAUUCGUGGUGUAGCGGUGAAAUGCUUAGAUAUCACGAAGAACUCCGAUUGCGAAGGCAGCUCACUGGAGCGCAACUGACGCUGAAGCUCGAAAGUGCGGGUAUCGAACAGGAUUAGAUACCCUGGUAGUCUGCACGGUAAACGAUGGAUGCCCGCUGUUGGUCUGAAUAGGUCAGCGGCCAAGCGAAAGCAUUAAGCAUCCCACCUGGGGAGUACGCCGGCAACGGUGAAACUCAAAGGAAUUGACGGGGGCCCGCACAAGCGGAGGAACAUGUGGUUUAAUUCGAUGAUACGCGAGGAACCUUACCCGGGCUUGAAUUGCAGAGGAAGGAUUUGGAGACAAUGACGCCCUUCGGGGCCUCUGUGAAGGUGCUGCAUGGUUGUCGUCAGCUCGUGCCGUGAGGUGUCAGCUUAAGUGCCAUAACGAGCGCAACCCCUCUCCUUAGUUGCCAUCAGGUCAUGCUGGGCACUCUGGGGACACUGCCACCGUAAGGUGUGAGGAAGGUGGGGAUGACGUCAAAUCAGCACGGCCCUUACGUCCGGGGCUACACACGUGUUACAAUGGCAGGUACAGAGAGACGGUCCCUUGCAAAAUGGAUCAAAUCCUUAAAGCCUGUCUCAGUUCGGACUGGGGUCUGCAACCCGACCCCACGAAGCUGGAUUCGCUAGUAAUCGCGCAUCAGCCAUGGCGCGGUGAAUACGUUCCC
rnacentral:rRNA from 1 species